rfam:Bombyx mori DNA, contig: Bm_scaf41_contig23427, strain: p50T/Dazao, build 2, whole genome shotgun sequence.
UUAACUCAAAUUUGUAAGAGUUAAAACGCUUGCCUAGGUUUACCGCUAGGGGCGCUGUUUCAACUGCAUACAAAUUUGAGUUA